GGUUUUCUAAGAGGCUUCCGAGAUUUGAAAAACGGUGGCUAAUGAUGACAACAGCAACAGCACUGAGCACAGAAAACUCCACAGGCCUGGGCUCGGCUCAUCGCACAGCCUCCAUCUCUGGAUGCCCUGAUUCAAGGAGAUUCAAAACCCGUGUCACUGCUGCCAUCUUCCUAGAAUCCCUUUAAAUCCUCAUGGAUUUGCUGACAUUGGGAGCAUCCUGAAAGAGUCCCCAUGCUAGGGUGGCUGCAGUAACAGGUACAAUGAGAAAUGAUGGUUCUCCCCACUCCAGAAAAAAUCAAAUCAGAUUGUGAAUUUAUUCCCUGACAUUAACACACGGCAUUACAGGAGCAUGUACAUCACAUGGUCAAUUUAUUGGCAUGAGGAUUAUGUCAUCGGGGAAUAAAUGGGAAAUUCUCAAGGUGGCCCAGGCCUGUAGGCUUCCAGUGAGAAAACUGGAGACCACACUCACCCGUCCCACUGCCGUUUCUUUGGGGCUGCCUGUGAUACUGGGUUAUUCCCCUUGCCGAGUUCCACUGUGCUUACCCUGUUGGAAUAUGAUGGUGGACUUGCCAGAGGAGAUGACCAUGAUUUUCAGGAACAGCAGCCCCUCCUUCCUGGUUGAGGCAGCCAGCAGGCACUCCUAUCCAUGAGCCACAGCUCAGCUAAGGCAAUCCAGUCCAGCUGCAUGCCCUCUCUCUGCUUCUGGGGAGGUAGGAAGGACCAGGGGCAUUCAUGCUUGUUUCUAGGGGGCCCUAACUGGAUCUCUGGAUCAAGACCUACUCAGGGGAGAAAGACUACUCUGGGUUCCAUGUUAGGACUGACGGGUGCAUCUUAACUGAGAUGCAGACAGUGGACAAUUCGAACUCUGACCUGAGAGCAAGCCCCAGCCUUGGUGCUCAUAAAUGCUCCGCUUGGUCCUUCACAUUUGUGUUCCACACAGGAGAAGCCAAGUUGUGAGCAGUGCACCUUCACAAGCAAAGCCUCGACUGAAAUCUUCUCUAACAAUUGGCUGGUCACUCCUGAGCGUAAUCUACCCCUUCAGAACACUGGGGAUGAAUUUAGAGACAUCGAAGCCUCCUGAUGAGAAAUACGUGUCCACUCACCGGGAGAACUGAAAUACCAGGAGAUUUCUACACAAAUCUCACAGAGUCCUUCUGGCGUCCUAGGGGUUUGCUCACAUAUAAGGGACUUUCUGGUAGGAAGAGAGUCUCUUUACAUUCUUUAUUAUAUGAUCCUGGUGGCUUUGUAGAGAGAUGGUACAGCUGACAGAUCAUGUCCUGUGGGGCCAGGGAGUUGUGUGUGUGUGAAUGCUCUGUGAACUUGGGCAAACUACUUAGCCUCUCUGAGCCUUAGCUGCAUCAGCUUUGAAAAACAGGAUGAUAAAAUGGAGUCACCUUAUUUGACUUUUAUAAAUACACUUACACAAUUACACAAGUUGUGGGGAUGGGAAGAGAGAGUUGGGGAAAGAGAAAUGAGAGAGAGAGAGAGAGAGAAUGAAUGAUAAACAAUUUAAACAACAGUGGGGUGUAGACCAACGCCCAGCCUGGCAAGGGUGAGCCCAGAGAGCCUUCCCUCCUGGCUAUUGGCAGCCUCCGCAUGGAAGCCUGUCGUUGACUUCUUAAUGAUGAGAGAUGUUCUGGGGGCACUCCAGGAUUCUUGGACAUGGGAUCGUCUUCACAGCUGUGUCUAUUGAAAGCUGAAGUUUCAGUCUCCCCUGCCCCCUGCCCCCUGGAGUGGCUUCCCAGGGGAAAUUCAAGGGCACCUGUGACUGCAUGGCUGCUUUCCUUUCCUUUACUCAAUGCCGUCCUUUGGUGACAGCCGUGUCUCAUGCCAGGAUACAUGAGGUGCUCUAUAGUAGUAUGUUUUCCCUCCUGGGAGGUAAUUUUAUUUAAAUGUGAAGUCAAAAGGAUCACUAAAUAGAACCAUGAGGCAACCACUCUGGGCACCUGCCUGGUGAUAUCCACAAGAGCUGACCACAGGUGCCCCCUGUGCCCAGCAAGUCCUUGGCUGGGCAGUCACACAACAGGCAUGGGGAUGUGUGGCCACCAAGCCCUCCAGGGCAGUGCUAUUUGUAAUAGUCCCAAAUGGGAGAGAUGGCAAACGCCCGCCAAUGGGGCAGCAUGGAUAAAUGGAUGCUGCACAGCAACGGCGAUGAGUGAGCCCCAGCACCCGUGAGCUCACCAGUGUAAUAUUGGGUGGAAGAAGCCAGGAGGAAGGGCAUUCACAUUCUGUGAUUCCAGCUACACUAUGUUUAAAUAUGGGCAGAGCUAGGCUGUGGUGCUGGAAGCCAGGACAGUGGGAUCCUUGCAUGGGGGUGAUGGUGCUGGUAGGUUCUGGUAAUUUCCUCUUCUUGAUCUGGGUGUAAACAUUUUGUGAAAAUUCAAUGAGCUGUACAUUUAUGACUGGUACAUUUAUGACUUUGUAUGAAUAUUAUACUUUCAUAAAACUACUUUAAAA
rnacentral:lncRNA from 1 species